GAUGAACGCUGGCGGCGCGCCUAACACAUGCAAGUCGAACGAUUAAAGCACCUUCGGGUGUGUAUAAAGUGGCGAACGGCUGAGUAACACGUGGGCAACCUGCCCCUUUCAUUGGGAUAGCCACGGGAAACCGUGGAUAAUACCGAAUACUUCGAGACUUCCGCAUGGAAGACUCGAGAAAGCUCCGGCGGAGAGGGAUGGGCCCGCGGCCUGUUAGCUUGUUGGUGGGGUAACGGCCUACCAAGGCAAUGAUGGGUAGCUGGGUUGAGAGACCGACCAGCCAGAUUGGGACUGAGACACAGCCCAGACUCCUACGGGAGGCAGCAGUGGGGAAUCUUGCACAAUGGGCGAAAGCCUGAUGCAGCGACGCCGCGUGCGGGAUGAAGGCCUUCGGGUUGUAAACCGCUUUCAGCAGGGACGAGGCGAAAGUGACGGUACCUGCAGAAGAAGCCCCGGCUAACUACGUG
rnacentral:rRNA from 1 species